GUGAGGAAUUUUGCGCAAUGGGGGAAACCCUGACGCAGCAACGCCGCGUGAGUGAUGAAGGCCUUCGGGUCGUAAAGCUCUGUCGAGUGGGAAGAACAUGCAUGAUGCCAAUACCAUGAUGCAUUGACGGUACCGCUGAAGGAAGCACCGGCUAACUCCGUGCCAGCAGCCGCGGUAAUACGGGGGGUGCAAGCGUUAUUCGGAAUUAUUGGGCGUAAAGAGCGCGUAGGCGGUUCUUUAAGUCAGAUGUGAAAGCCCGGGGCUCAACCUCGGAAGUGCAUUUGAAACUAAAGGACUUGAGUAUGGGAGAGGGAAGCGGAAUUCCUGGUGUAGAGGUGAAAUUCGUAGAUAUCAGGAGGAACACCGGUGGCGAAGGCGGCUUCCUGGACCAAUACUGACGCUGAGGCGCGAAGGCGUGGGGAGCAAACAGGAUUAGAUACCCUGGUAGUCC
rnacentral:rRNA from 1 species